GCUUCUCUCAUUAGACUGAGAAAUUGUCACAGUAGUUUGUCUUGCUGAAUUUGCAUUUGAGAAUGAUAUAGUUUUAGCCUUGUUUCUCUUAGCUUUGAACCAAGGUAACAGCUCAGAGAAUUCUGCUGAUCAUACUAUAGGAUUAUUUUCUGAAUGGACUAACAAGCAGAGAAAUGAUGCAGAUUUGAUUUCUUCGAACCUCAGUGUCUUCUCUUCCAUCUAGUACAGGAAGUCAUUUCAGGAUCCG
rnacentral:lncRNA from 1 species